GACGAACGCUGGCGGCGUGCUUAACACAUGCAAGUCGAACGAAGAGCGAUGGAAGCUUGCUUCUAUCACUCUUAGUGGCGAACGGGUGAGUAACGCGUAAUCAACCUGCCCUUCAGAGGGGGACAACAGUUGGAAACGACUGCUAAUACCGCAUACGAUCUAAUCUCGGCAUCGAGGAUAGAUGAAAGGUGGCCCCUACAUGUAAGCUAUCACUGAAGGAGGGGAUUGCGUCUGAUUGGCUAGUUGGAGGGGUAACGGCCCACCAAGGCGAUGAUCAGUAGCCGGUCUGAGAGGAUGAACGGCCACAGUGGGACUGAGACACGGCCCAGACGCCUACGGGAGGCAGCAGUGGGGAAUCUUACGCAAGGGACGAAAGGCUGACGGAGCAACGCCGCGUGAGGGAUGACGGCCGUCGGGUUGUAAAGCUCUGUUAAUCGGGACGAAAGGCCUUCUUGCGAAUAGUGAGAAGGAUUGACGGUACCGGAAUAGAAAGCCACGGCUAACUACGUG
rnacentral:rRNA from 1 species